UUUUUGGUUUUGUAAUUGGAAUGAGUUAAGUAUAAACCCCUUUACAAGUAUCAAUUGGAGGGCAAGUCUGGUGCCAGCAGCCGCGGUAAUUCCAGCUCCAAUAGCGUAUAUUAAAGUUGUUGCAGUUAAAAAGCUCGUAGUUGGAUUUCUGUUAAUAAUUUAUAUAUAAUAUUUGAUUAAUAUUUAUAUAAUAUUAACAUAAUUCAUAUUACUAAAUUUAUUAGUAUAUGAAAUUUUACUUUGAGAAAAUUAGAGUGCUUAAAGCAGGCAUAUGCCUUGAAUACUCCAGCAUGGAAUAAUAUUAAAGAUUUUUAUCUUUCUUAUUGGUUCUAAGAUAAAAAUAAUGAUUAAUAGGGACAGUUGGGGGCAUUUGUAUUUAACAGUCAGAGGUGAAAUUCUUAGAUUUGUUAAAGACAAACUAAUGCGAAAGCAUUUGCCAAGGAUGUUUUCAUUAAUCAAGAACGAAAGUUAGGGGAUCGAAGACGAUCAGAUACCGUCGUAGUCUUAACCAUAAACUAUGCCAACUAGAGAUUGGAGGU
rnacentral:rRNA from 1 species